ensembl:lincRNA
GGGGAUUUCUGAUACGAGGGAGACGCGAGGUGUUGGGACUCCCAGCCUGGGACCAGCGUGCUCUUGGAAAGCCCCUGCGAUGGCCGGAACAUCCUCGAGGAGUUCCAGCCAGGAGACAUCAGGAGACAUCAGUGGAGACCAGGAGACGUCGCUGGACACUGGCUCUCAAGCAGCCAGCAGCCAGCAGCAAAGAAGCCCGCCCGGCCAGAGAGGAAGCAUCUACGGUUCGACUCUAACACAGGGGAAGCUGAUGUCCAUGCCGUGAUGAAGAAUAGUGCCCUCUGCUCUGUACUAACAACCCACCAUGUGUGUAUCAACUGCAUGUGGGCUUGUUUGCUUUGUGGUGACAUUGGGGGAUUGAACCAAGGCCUCUCGUAUGCUAAGCAAGCACUCUACCAUUAACUACACCUCCAGCCCUUUUUGUUUGUUAAUUUUCAGUUAGGGCCUUGCUAAGGAGGCCUCAAACUUGAGAUCCUCCUGCCUUAACCCCCUGAGUAGCUGGCAGUACAGGUGUGUAACACCAUGCCUGCAAUAGUCUGUGAAACUUAGAAGUUUCAUUAGCCUGAAUUAAAGAUCUAUCUUGAGUUUAUUUUUCAUCAUAUAAUACUUACUUAAGUUAUACUCAUUCUCUUAAAGGCACCUCUUAUAAAUUGAAACAGUCUCCCCCCUUAUAAUAUAUUAAGAUUUAAUUUAAAAUGUAUUAUCAUCCAUUGAUUUCCUGCAGUUUAUUGCUGCUUAUUUUUAAGUAAAAAUUAUGCUUAUCUGUUACUAAAUUUUAUGAUAAGCAAAUGAAACAAUGUGACAGUGUUUUGUGACAGCAUUUUGAAAAAUAGUGCCAUAUUUGUGUGAGCUAAAGUUUAUAAAUUCUGAUCACAUUCCUCAUUAACA